rnacentral:rRNA from 1 species
AAACCGUUCAGGGGUAAACCUGAGGAACCCAAAAGAUCGAAUGGGGAGAUUCAUCGUCAGCGGCCUCGGCCUCACGGCGGCGCGCGAUGCCACGCACGCGGAUCCUCGCGGUUCGCGUCGCGAUGACACGCAACCGCCGACGAACUUCCGGGGUCGUAGUCGUGCACUUCUCCCCUAGUAGAACGUCGCGACCCGUUGAGAGUCGGUCUACGGCCCGAGGGGUCGCCUGUCACGAGCGUGAAUGCGCACGCGGCAGAUCCUCGUUCGGCCGGCCGGCUCCUCGGCGGUACUCGCACGGUAUCGGGCCGCAACCAUCCAUUUGAAUUCUGCGUCAGGCCCGCCGCAAGCGCGGUCAGCUGAACCCGGAGGCACGGACCUAGCGCCGUCCCCGGGGCUGGCCACCUGUUGGUCGGCGGUGUCCUCGGACUGGCCAAGCUCUCGAAAUACCGUUCGGCGACGCUACUGCUUUGGGUACUCUCAGGACCCGUCUUGAAACACGGACCAAGGAAUCUAACAUGUGCGCGAGUCAUUGGGAGUAAUAAACCUAAAGGCGAAAUGAAAGUGAAGGUCGUACCUAGCGUCGACCGAGGGAGGAUGGGCCGCGUUACGAUGCGGCUCCGCACUCCCGGGGCGUCUCGUUCUCAUUGCGAGAAGAGGCGCACCCAGAGCGUACACGUU